GCCGCCGUAGCUCAGCCUGGGAGAGCACUCGACCUUUUUGGGGUGAUGCUGAAGACCGAGCUGUCGUGUGUUCAAGUCACACCGGCGGCA
rnacentral:tRNA from 1 species